rnacentral:rRNA from 1 species
AAAUAAUAUAAUUUAAUUUAUUUAGUAUUAAUUAAUUUAUAAUAAAGUAAUUUUAAAUUAAAGUUUAUUAGGUGAAAUUUAUAAAUUUUAAAUAAAAAUUUAUUAUUUUUAAUGAAGUUAAGAAAUUUAAUUAAUAAACUAGGAUUAGAUACCCUAUUAUUUUAAAUGUAUUUUUUAUACUAAAUUAGUAUUAGUUAUGUUCUUGAAAAUUAAAAAUUUUGGCGGUAUUUUAGUCUAUUCAGAGGAACUUGUCCUAUAAUUGAUAAUCCACGAUUUUAUUUACUUUUUUUAUUAGUUUGUAUAUCGUCGUAAUUUGAAUAUUUUUUAAGGAUAAUAAUGUUCAAGAUUUUGUAUAAGAAAGUAAAUCAGAUCAAGGUGCAGUUUAUAAAAAAGAAGAGAUGAGUUACAAUUAAAUAAUUAUUAGGAUUAUUAUUUAUAAAAUAAUAUGAAUUUGGAUUUGAGGGUAAAUUUAAUGAAUUAAUUAAAUUGAUUUUAGCUCUAAAAU